rnacentral:lncRNA from 1 species
AAGCCCCGCCCCCCGCGCGUUGCCGGGAGACGGCGCCCAACCUUCCUCUGCAGCGCCCCUACCGACCCGCGCUCCGCAGCUCCUGAGGGCUUUCGAGCCCAGAUGGUCAUCUGAGACGAGAGGUGGCGGCGAAGGAGAGUCUCGCCUGUCACGCUCCCGGAGCAGGGGCUUCAUGAGGUGGCCAUGGAAACAGCCUGGCAGACUCCCAUCUCUCCUGGUGCCAUCUCCGGAGCGGAAAGUGGAGCGCCCCGCUGGCGACCAAGGCCGCACUGAGAGCCCUGGUUUGGUCAACAGUUGGGCUCCAAGUCUACAGGUUUCUAGGCCCUUGGUGAGUGAAGAGCAGUUCAUUACGAAAUGACCUCCAAGAACAAGGCUCAGCAUUCUCUGAAAUCUCAUGAAGCAGUGUAACCAGCUCUCAAGUAUCUUCCUGUGAACUAGCCACAGGGAGCCCUGGUAUUCCUUGAACAUGCAUACCUUUCCCAGCGUGAGGGACAUGGACCGUGCCGUGCGAGGGACCCCAUCUUCUGCAGCAGGAGGGAGCAGAGAAGAGAACACAGCCACCCUCAUCAGCCAGAGUUCAAACCCUGACAGUGCCCAUGGAGAGAUCUGGUCCAAGGCACCAACCUCUUCCUGCUGGACUGAGAAAGAGCCUCCUACUGUGUCUCUCUUUACCUCAGCUUUUGCACACCUCCAAUAUAUUGUCCACUGAAGUCAGAAUAAUCUAAAAAUAAAGGCUGAUUACCUCAUGUGGUAUAAACU